AUAGACUCCAGCCCGCGGCCAAAGUGUCCAUCGGGGAGAGGCCCGGGGUCCUGGGAUUGGGAGCUGAUUCUGAAAGGCCAGGGUCAGAAAAAUGUUCCUGUACACGCACCCGGAGGCUUUUGCAGGAGGCGGCUGUUGGAGAACCAGGAAAACAAGCCAAGAAACAAGAGAGAGGAAAAAGACCACGCCUCGCCUGGCAGAUUCCUAAUGGCCCAGGAGACCUGAGGCUUUACAGUGGGAGGCCGGUGGGGGCUGGCUCGGGUGGGAGGGAAGGGCAGGCCGAAGGACAGCCACUUGCUGGCCAGUGACCUUGGGCGGGAUGCUGCCUGCUUCCCUCUGACAAAAAGAACAUUCCCAGCCCCUGCCAUGAGCCUGGACUUGCUCUGCUGGCAGGGGAAGGAAUGCAGCUCUGGCCGCCACAGCUGCUGGUGGCCAGCUGCGGCCUCAGCCCCUGCUGCUCCCACCCCAGCAGGCGAAGGGACAAAGGCCUCUUCUCAGCCUGUCCCCUCCAGCCCCCUGGAUCAGUGCGGGCAGAGCAACAACCAGGAGGCUCUGUCACUGACCAGCUAAGUCGCUGUUGCUCUCUGGGCCUUAGUGCCCUUUCUGGAAAAUGGGGGCAGAGAAUCUGCCUGACCUACUUCUCAGCUCCAUUUUGAGGUUUCAAAGAGGUAAAGUUACAGAAGUACAGACCUCUCAGCACCUCCUGCCUGAGGGUCGGCCUGCCCAGAGACCCCUCUGCCUCAAAUGACCCGCCCUCCCUCUGGUGUUACGUGGCCAGCCCCAGCCCGCUCAGCACCACUCAGCUCAGCCAGAUCAUCCCUGGCUCUGGGGAGCCCUCCACCUCCAGACCUGUGCGGCUCCUUCAAGGUAUUUAUCACUGUUGUAAUUAAAUAAUUAAUUGUGUAAUUGGAUCUGUCUCCCCACUAAAAUGUGAACUCUGUAAUA